GAAUAAAAAACGUGAAACUCCACAAGGCCAGGAAAGAACAAUUACUGGGGAGCAGUACACCAAACAAUGGUGAGAGGUCACACAGAACUGGGAAUCAUUUGAGCUCCCAGCAACCAGAGUGAAGAGAUUAUUGAAUACCAUGGAACACGCAAUAGAAACCUCAGAUGUGAAACUGCCAUUGCAAAAUUAUCAUUGAGACAGUGAAAGAGAUCAGACCUAACCAACUCCAUCUUGCUUUUAACCUCCAGGCUAUCCUUAUUCAUUCCUAGGCGUAGGCCAAACUAACACUGGGAGGAACUUAGUGUAUAGCUUAUAGUUUAAAACAAAGGUGAUAGCCCUUUCUCAAAAUAAACCCUCUUCUUGAGACUAGACUGCUUUUGUAGGACUAGUAAAUUAGCCGAAAGAUUAGAAAUUAUGAUUUAGGACUCAUGCAGCUGAAGGCUACAAGAUUCUAACCCUCUCCAAAUUGCUCCUGGGGAUAAUAUCACUAUUGUAAAAUCUAAGAUCAGUGCUUGAGAUAUUUUGCAGGCCCUGCACUUGAUGGAUCAGCUGGCACCUCCCAGAUUGAUAAACUGACUCACCUGAUCUUGGAUAAACUAGCUCAUCUGAUUUUGUGUCCCCCACGGGAGGAACUGACUCAGUGCAAGAGGACAGCAUCGACUCCCUAUGAUUUCAUCUCCUACCCAACCAGUCACCACUCCCAUCUCACUGGCUUCUCACCCACCCAAUUAUCCUUAAAAACUCUGAUCCCCAAAUGCUCAGGGAGACUGAUUUGAUUAAUAAAACUCAGGUCUCCUGCACUGCCAGCUCUGCAUGAAUUGCUCUUUAUUGCAAUUCCCCUGUCUUGAUAAAUCGACUCUGUCUAGGCAGUAGGCAAGAUGAACCUUUUGGGUGGUUACGAAAGUGUCAUGCCUUAGUGAGAUAUAAUAACCGUAGACUGCAGGACCCAGAACAUAAACUACUGUAGAUUCUUCAAAAGCCUUAAAACAAGCCCUGAAAGGAUCAAACUGCUCUGUAAGUAACCUAAUUACCUGUAAGAACAAAUUCUAAAACUCUCUGAAAGACUACAGUAAAAUCCAGGAUUCAACAACAUUAAAUUCAAAAUGUGAGACAUCCAGUCAAAAAUUGAAAGACACGCAGCACUUGGGGAUGCUGAGGCGGGAGGAUUGCUUGAGCCCAGGAGUUUGAGGCUGCAGUGACCUAUGAUUGCACCACCACAACCCAGCCUGGGUGACAGGGUAAGACUCUGUCUCAAAAGAGAGAGAGAGAGACCAAGUGGUAAGAAAAUAUCUCACGAAGUUCAUAGAAACAAACCCCAAAAUGAUAAAAAUGAUGGAAUUAACAGACAAGGAUUUUAAACACCUGUUAUGAAUAUGCUCAAAGAUUUAAAGGAAGACAUGAUAGGAGAGAAACUGGAAAGAUUUUUGAAAAAUCAAAUUUCUGGAUGGAGGUGAAAAAUAUUUGAAAUAAAAAUUUCUUUGGAUGGGAUUGCUAGCGCAUUAAGCAAUGCAGAGAAAAAGGAGAUCUAACACAGGACAGAGGCAGAGAGAAUCCCCAAGAUGAUGGAGGAAGAUCGCAGCAUGACAGCUGUGCUCCAGGGGACAGUUGUGAGGAUCGGAGCAGCGCAAUUCAAGAGACAGGCACGUUGAAUGCUGUUACCACCAAGAUGUUGAAUGCUAUUGCAUACUCUAUUUAACAGGACACACAUACAGCUUUGCCCACCAAUUUCCAAAGGUUUCCCAUCAGCAAUCAAGCAAGAUGGAGCCAGGCUGUGACUUAGAGACUGUUCAGAUUACCUGGGAGACUUCAUCAAAUAGAGACGAUUUUGUCCCUCCUCAUACAGCUAAGUUUGUGUUUGCAUCUUAAUUUUCAAAACUAAACAAUAUGAUAGCUAGGCGCAUAUCCCUACAUGAAAAAUAGAUUUUGAAAAGGCAAUAAAAAAGAGACAAGUGGGGGCUCCUAAUGCACUAAGUUCUAUUUCUCAGUGGGGAUGAUAGAUGCAAAAAGCAUUUCAUUAAUAGUAGUAUGUUACUUAUAUGUUGUUAAAAGUUCAUUUGUGUAUAUAAUACAUUUUACCAUUUGUAAAAGUACAGAAGAGAAAAACAUUAUUUGCAAAAAAUUAUAAGCCU
rnacentral:lncRNA from 1 species